rnacentral:lncRNA from 1 species
CAGUUAUUGAGACAAGUAACAUUCUCCUUUACUGUUCUUCAGAUGAUCACAUAUAUGCCCAUGUCUUUCAAAAGUCUGAUUCAAAAUUGAUAGUCUUUAGCUCUCAGCUACAUACCUGUCUAAAAAUACCUCUUCAACUAGCAUUAACUCCUGUGUUCAUAGCCCUGAGUGGAGGCAAGCAGCUAUGGGUGUCUGACAUUUUUGUACAUGUUCUGUAUUAGAUCUGCAGGGGAAAUUAUAGCACCUAAAUAGCUUUUGCAUUUUCCAGGGCUGCAAGUAAUAAUCUUUUCCUCUUGGCAGAAUUAUCUCGCUUGUCCUGAUGGCUAUCAGAAGUGUGCAAAUUUCUUUAAAAAUCUGCUUCCACGUGGAGGGAUUGUCAGAAUCAUUGCUUGAUAGCUACCAGAACUAAUAGAUCCUUGAGAAGUUAACAUACUUCUGGUUAAUAUUACUGCUCAAAAAAUAUCUUCUUAGGCAUGCAGCUGGGAUCCAGAAAGGAGCACGCUUCUUUUUGAAACUGUGGAAGAAAAGCCUAAGGAUAAGUCUGGACCUUCAAGCAUGGUGACAUACAGUGGCUUUCAGGAUUUUAGGUAACUGAGACCUGUCAAAGAAGGACUUCUAAAGCACCUACAAAAUUCCCUUCAAGAUGUCGAAGCAACUGUUUGGGCAGGGUCUGCAGCAGUUUGCUCUUAAGAUCUCCACCAAGUACCUCUUAUAAUGCUGAUGGGAAAGCAGGAUUCAUGAAUUUUCCUUCUGGAACUGUUCUGAGGCAGCCAACGGAGAAGGAGUUAACUGCUGUCCUCUUUUCCGCUGUUCCUGGCUGGAGUUGCUGGCAUCCCAUCUGGUCUGGGCUGUCCGAGCUCUUCCAGCUGUCUCUGGGGAAGUGGCUCUCACAGGAGGAUCUGAGACUGCUACCCCCAGUAUUUGGAAAGCUUGAGAAACAGAUAUCACACACAUGCUGCAGUGCAGAGGUGCAAGACAAAGAGGUGAGUGACCACAUGCAGGCUGCUCACAGCACCACUGUGUUCUCCACAUGGCCCUAUCCCACAGGACAAGUGCUUUCACAGAAGGCUGAACCUGGCCUAGGGGAGUGGCUUUGUUCUUCCUGGCCAGGAGUGCCUAAAAGCUGUGUAGGAAAAGCAGAGGUGCUGAUUGUAUUAGCUCUCAGAGAAGGAGGCUGCUGUGCUGAGCUGGUGAAAAACCUGCUCCCUGUGAUCUCACUGUAUAAACCGUGCUGCAGAGUAUUUUUUGAUUAGGAGUGGCUCAUCUCCCUGAGCACUCUUGCCAGUUGGUGGCCUGCACUCUGUCUGCUUUCCUUCCAGUUAAACAGAGGGAAUAGAGUGGAAGGCGAUAACAAAGUGUCAGAAGCUGCUGGGUAGGAUAGGUUGAAUGUGAAAUGGGGCUUGCAGGAUGUGCUGAGAACAUUCUUUGAAAGUAGGGGGUAAAACUCUUUGGUGUAAAGUCAGCAACAUCAGCCAAGCUGCUACAGAUCCAGAGUUUGGAAGCUGUUGUGUUCAGUCUACAUCAGCUAAAAGAACCUAACUAAAGGAAAUGCCCCUCCUGCAUUACGAAAGCAGCAGUAUAUAUCAGCUUUUGAAGAUGUAGAAGUAAAGGCUUCAAGUCACAAAUGCUUUUAAGGUUUUGUGGUAGAACUCUGUUUUGGC